rnacentral:rRNA from 1 species
UGGGGGAUAUUGCACAAUGGGCGAAAGCCUGAUGCAGCGACGCCGCGUGGGGGAUGAAGGCCUUCGGGUUGUAAACUUCUUUUGCUCUGAACAAGGCGCACCAUGGGGUGUGUUGAGUGUAGGGGUUGAUUAGCGCCGGCUAACUACGUGCCAGCAGCCGCGGUAAUACGUAGGGCGCGAGCGUUGUCCGGCAUUAUUGGGCGUUAAGGGCUUGUCGGUGGCUGGUUGCGUCUGUCGUGAAAGCUCAUGGCUUAACUGUGGGUUUGGGGUGGGUACGGGAUGGCUUGAGUGCAGUAGGGGAGGCUGGAAUUCCUGGUGUAGCGGUGGAAUGCGCAGAUAGCAGGAGGAAUACCGGUGGCGAAGGGGGGUCUCUGGGCUGUUACUGACACUGAGGAGCGAAAGCAUGGGGAGCGAACAGG